GAUGAACGCUGGCGGCGUGCCUAAUACAUGCAAGUCGAGCGAACGGACGAGAAGCUUGCUUCUCUGAUGUUAGCGGCGGACGGGUGAGUAACACGUGGAUAACCUACCUAUAAGACUGGGAUAACUUCGGGAAACCGUAGCUAAUACCGGAUAAUAUUUUGAACCGCAUGGUUCAAAAGUGAAAGACGGUCUUGCUGUCACUUAUAGAUGGAUCCGCGCUGCAUUAGCUAGUUGGUAAGGUAACGGCUUACCAAGGCAACGAUGCAUAGCCGACGUGAGAGGGUGAUAGGCGACACUGGAACUGGGCCGGGGUCCAGAGUCCUGCGGGAGGCAGCAGUAGGGAAUCUGCCGCAAUGGGCGAGAGCCUGACGGAGCAACGCCGCGUGAGUGAUGAAGGUCUUCGGAUCGUAAAACUCUGUUAUUAGGGAAGAACAUAUGUGUAAGUAACUGUGCACAUCGUGACGGUACCUAAUCAGAAAGCCACGGCUAACUACGUG
rnacentral:rRNA from 1 species